ensembl:lncRNA
GGUGCUCUUAACCGCUGAGCCAUCUCUCCAGCCCUUUUGUUGUGUUUUAUUUUAAGAUUUAAUUUUUAUUUUAUUUUUGUAUUUAUGUGUGGUUCUGUGCACAUGCGUGUACUGCUGGUUGAAGCCAGGAGAGGGAGUCAGAUUCCCCUGGAUAUGGAGUUACACACAUAUAUGAACUUCUUCGUCACCACACUCUCCAGCCCCUCGUAUUCUACUACUCUAUAUAAUGUUGUAUACCCUGGAAUUGCCUCAUAAAUGCUAUUUAGCAGCUUCUUGUCAUAUUUGAAAAAAAUACAAGAAGUUAUAGUGAAUAUACUUCAUUUAAAACUUAGUUUUAAAAACUUAAGUGGAUAGGGCUAGGGCAGAGAGAGCGCUUAUUUGGUAGAUUGCUUGCUUAACAUAUAAGAUGCCCUGGGUUUUAUUUUUAAUGUCUAGCUCCUCAUAAACUGUGGGUGGUGGCAUAUACCUUUAAUUAAUAUCAAUUAAUACCUCUAAUUAACUAAUACUGACUCAUGGCAGCAUACACCUUGAAUCCUACUUAACACUCAUGGAGGCAAAAGUCCAAGGUCUUUCUUGGCUCUCUCAAGUGUGAGGCCAGCCUGGAUGCAUGAGACCCUGUCUCAGAAAUCAGUUUUUAGGGGCUGGGGAUUUAGCUCAGUGGUAGAGCGCUUACCUAGGAAGCACAAGGCCCUGGGUUCGGUCCCCAGCUCCGAAAAAAAAAGAACCAAAAAAAAAAAAAAAGAAAGAAAUCAGUUUUUAAAAAGUUUCCUCUUUUAAACUGAGUUUAAAUUAAACUUUUAAACUAGAGUUUAAUGUGAAUCUUGUCCUUUUAACUCAUAAAUCAGUAAAUGAAACGUAAGUGUAUGCAGUAGGCUCCCCAGUAAUUAACAACAUGUACUGUAUGCCUGGGAGUGCCUUAAAUAUGUUCUCCAUAUACCAACUUCUAUUUUGUGCUUGUUCUCAUUUUAUAAAAGAAGAAAUCUAAUCACUAAGAGGUCAAGUGACUAGUUAGAGGGUGAGAGGAGCAAAAGCUUUUAGACCCAGCUGCAACUCUGAGGUCAGACACCAGUCACUCGGUUCUGUCAUCAUGGCUUUUCUGGUAACUGUCCUAAAUACAGUUGUAAUUAGAGUUAAUAUACCGAAUAAGUUAAUGAUUUGCAAUGUCGAGUUAUUAGUUGUAAUUCACGGACUAGAAUUGUGUUUCUCUGCUGCAAGUGAAUCAUGGGAAUGAAAUAUUUUACUGCCCCUCCCACCGUCAGUAUCCUGCAUCCUGUGCGGGGCUUUCCACCCUGAGGAGCUCCUGGUUAGGAGCGUCAGUUAACAACAGGCUCUCUGGGUUUGCCGAGGUAGGGGUUUGAAGGUGCACAGGAAGCUUGGUUUCCUCUGGACACUGCGGUGGAGUGGGGUGGGUCUCUGCCCUGCUGUGGAGCAGGGUCAGAAGCGUGAAGCAGCUGUGUAAUCCGCUGGAUGCUGACCAGGGCGCUCCCCAUUCCAAUCAGGAGCCUGAGGAUUGGCUGGGCGUAGGCACACGUGACCGACAUGUGGCUGUAUUGGCGCAGCCUGCCGGGGUGUCACUGGAGACAGAAUGGAGGUGCUGCCGGGCUCGAAAAUGGGAUAACUACUUUAGAUGUACGUCGAUUUAAUAGGGUCUCUCUGUGUAGCCCUGGCUCUCUUGGAACUCACUCUGCAGACCAAGCUGGCCUAGAGCUUACAGAGGAGCUUCCGCCUCCUAAGUGCUGGGAUUGAAGACUUGCACCACUACUGUAAGAAUGCUUUAUGAAAGAUUUUAUAGCUUAAAUUACAUUUACUUUUUUAUUUACUAAUUUAUUGUAUGUAUGUAGGUAGGUCACAUGACAACCUACAGGUCUUGGUUCUCUCUUACCAUGUGGUUUCCAGGGAUCAAACUCAGUUUAUCAGGCUUGAUGGAAGCACCUUUACCCAUGGGGCUAUUACUUAGCAUAGUUAAAAUCAAUCUUUUAAACAUU